AGCUAAUUAUCAAGUCCUGGCUACGAUAAUUCGACUUCCUUCAUGUUCAUUGGAUAUGACCUAUAUAAGCAGACAUGAUCUCAUCUGGAAACGUAUCAUACAAUCGUUUCCAAUUACCUUGUCACGAGUCUACUCGCGUACUUGCUAAUUCACGUGCGAAAUAGCCUUCAAGAGUCUCCACCAGAUGACAGAGGAAACCUUGGAUUCACAGAAAUAUUUAUACAGUAUUACUACAAAAGAUUAUUAUUCUAUUUCCAUGGAUUCAGUAGAUGUUGAUCACCAAAAGAGGAAGAAAAGAAGAAAUCCCUAAAGGAAGAAAAUGAAAGUCAAAGACGUUUUAUCUAUUGGAAGUCAAACAUUAUGCAAAGCGAACGAGAUCUCCGCCGUUGAUUUCAUCGAACCGACUGGAACGUACUCUUGUUUUCUUUGCUAGAAACGAUUCGCGGCAGUUCUAAUCGCUUCAAUGGCUGUUUGGCACGUCGAAGAAUUUUUGAUAGUGUGUAUCGAUAUGAUCUAAGAAACCGAAGUCCUUGAAGUCCUUGUAGUCCUUGGACUAUCGGAUAAUUGAUAAGGCUAAUAGCUGUUCAUUCGUUCCACGAUCAUUUUGGAGAGACCGUUUCACUGAAAGGUCUCGUUGGUUUAUGUUCAAGUCAAUCGACAACCGUAUUUAUAUUCAUAGAUUCGUUGUGGAACGGAAAUUGUUGCAAUAUGUUUCAUCCGCAAGAUAAUUUUACUCGAAGUUUACUUAUUUUCUACUUUUAUUAGUUGACGUUCUCAUUAUUAACCCUUUGCACUCCAAAAAUUUGUCACUGGAAAUAUGCAAUUUACUUUUAUGAGAUAUAGAUGACAUUUUUUGAAAACUUA